rfam:Vigna angularis cultivar Jingnong 6 scaffold856_15, whole genome shotgun sequence.
CUCAGUUAUGGGUUCUUGCUGUAAAUAUGGACAUAAAACAAAGUGUGGGCUUUAGGUGGGCUUUCUUCAGUUUUGGAUUGCCCAUAAAGGACCCACACACAUUC